rnacentral:rRNA from 1 species
GACGAACGCUGGCGGCGUGCUUAACACAUGCAAGUCGAACGGAAAGGCCCUGCUUUUGUGGGGUGCUCGAGUGGCGAACGGGUGAGUAACACGUGAGUAACCUGCCCUUGACUUUGGGAUAACUUCAGGAAACUGGGGCUAAUACCGUAUAGGAGCUCCUGCUGCAUGGUGGGGGUUGGAAAGUUUCGGCGGUUGGGGAUGGACUCGCGGCUUAUCAGCUGGUUGGUGGGGUAGUGGCUUACCAAGGCUUUGACGGGUAGCCGGCCUGAGAGGGUGACCGGCCACAUUGGGACUGAGAUACGGCCCAGACUCCUACGGGAGGCAGCAGUGGGGAAUAUUGCACAAUGGGCGGAAGCCUGAUGCAGCAACGCCGCGUGCGGGAUGACGGCCUUCGGGUUGUAAACCGCUUUCGCCUGUGACGAAGCGUGAGUGACGGUAAUGGGUAAAGAAGCACCGGCUAACUACGUG